rnacentral:rRNA from 1 species
UAAUACAGAGGUCCCAAGCGUUGUUCGGAUUUACUGGGCGUAAAGGGUGCGUAGGUGGUCGGGUAAGUCUCAUGUGAAAUCUCCAAGCUUAACUUGGAAAUGGCAUGGGAUACUAUUCGGCUAGAGGAUUGGAGGGGGGACUGGAAUUCCCGGUGUAGCAGUGAAAUGCGUAGAUAUCGGGAGGAACACCAGUGGCGAAGGCGAGUCCCUGGACAAUUCCUGACGCUGAGGCACGAAAGCUAGGGGAGCAAACAGGAUUAGAUACCCUGGUAGUCCUAGCUGUAAACGGUGCUCACUUGCUGUAGACGGAAUCGACCCCGUCUGUGGCGAAGCUAACGCGUUAAGUGAGCCGCCUGGGGAGUACGGUCGCAAGAUUA